GUGCUUACUUCAGCAGCACAUAUACUAAAAUUGGAACAAUAGAGAUUAGUAUGUCCUCUGCACAAGAGUGAUAUGCAAAUUUGUGAAGUGUUCCAUAUUUUU